rnacentral:rRNA from 1 species
GACAGAGGGUGCAAACGUUGUUCGGAAUUACUGGGCGUAAAGCGCGUGUAGGCGGUCGGGCAAGUCGGAUGUGAAAGCCCAGGGCUCAACCCUGGAAGUGCACUCGAUACUGCUCGGCUAGAGUCCCGGAGAGGAUGGUGGAACUCUCGGUGUAGAGGUGAAAUUCGUAGAUAUCGAGAAGAACACCGGUGGCGAAGGCGGCCAUCUGGGCGGUGACUGACGCUGAGACGCGAAAGCGUGGGGAGCAAACAGG